AAAAUCCGUUGACUUUUAAAAUCGUGAGGGUUCAAGN
rnacentral:tRNA from 1 species